ensembl:lncRNA
AUGGGGAUUUUGGGGUAAGAGUCUGGGUUUUAGGGUCUUGAAUUGGGUGUGGGGGCAUUGAGUUGGGGUUUGGGGUUAGAAAUGGGGAUUUUGGGGUAAGAAGUUUGGGUUUUGGGGUCUGGAGUUGGGGGGGGCGGGAAUUGGGGUCUGGGGUGCAGGAGUUUGGGGUUUGGGGUUAGAAAUGGGGAUUUUGGGGUAAGAAGACUUGAGUUUUGGGGUCUGGAGGAGGUGGGGGCAAGAAUUGGGGUCUGGGUGCACUGAGUUGGGGUUUGGGGUUAAAAGUAGGGAUUUUGGGGUCAGAAGUUUGAGUUUUAGGAUCUUUGAGUUGGAACUUGGGGCCAUGAGUUGGGGUUUGGGGGCUGGCAUUGGGGUUUGGGGAUAAAAAUGGGGAUUUUGGGUUAAGGAGAGUGAGUUUUGGGGUCUGGAGUUGGGUGUGGGGGCUGUGAGUUGGGUUUUGGGGUUGGCAAUAGGGAUUUUGGGGUAAGAGUCUGGGUUUUAGGGUCUUGAGUUGGGUGUGGGGGCCGUGAGUUGGGGUUUGGGGUCUGGCAUUGGGGUUUUGGGGUUGAGCAUUGGGGUUUUGGGGGUUAUGAAUGGAGAUUCUGGGGUAAGAAGUUCGGGUUUUGGGGUCCGGGGCCCUUGAUUUGGGGUUUGAGGUUGUAAAUACGGGUUUGGGGGUAAUUGCUUUUUGGGGUUCCCCAUUGCGGUUCCAUUUUGGGAUUCCCCAUUACUGUUGUGUGUUGGGGUUCCCCAUUGGGGUUCCCCAUUUGUGUUGUCUGUUGGGGUUCCGCUGUAGGAUUUCCUAUUAUGGUUCCAUUUUAGGGUUGUCCGUUGAGGUUUCCAAUUAGGGUUCCCCAUUGAGGUUGGGGUUCCCCAUUGGGGUUUCCCAUUCGAGUUCUAUGUAGGGGUUCCCCAUUGGGGUUCCAUUGUAGGGUUCCCCGUUGGGAUUCCCCAUUGAGGUUGGGGUUCCCCAUUAGGGUUCUGUGUUGGGGUUCCCCAUUGGGGUUUCCUUAUAGGGUUCCCCAUUGUGGUUCCCUUUUAGGAUUCUCCAUUGAGGUUGGGGUUCCCCGUUGUGGUUCCAUUUUAGGGUUCCCCAUUGGGGUUCCUUUUCAGGAUUGUCCAUUGAGCUUGGGGUUCCCCAUUAGGGUUCUGUGUUGGGGGUUCCCCAUAGGGGUUCCAUUUUCGGGUUCCCCAUUGGGAUCCCCCAUUGAGGUUGGGGUUCCCCAUUGGGGUUCUGUGUUGGGGUUCCCCAUUGGGGUUCUGUGUUGGGGUUCCCUACUGGGGUUCCAUUUUAGGGUUCCCCAUUGGGAUCCCCCGUUGAGGUUGGGGUUCUCCAUUGGGGUUCCAUUUUAGGGUUCCCCAUUGGAAUCCCCCAUUGAGGUUGCGGUUCCCCAUUGGGGUUCUGUGUUGGGGUUCCCCAUUGGGGUUCCAUUUUAGGGUUCCCCAUUGGAAUCCCCCAUUGAGGUUGGGGUUCCCCAUUAGGGUUCUGUGUUGGGGUUCCCCAUUGGGGUUCCAUUUUAGGGUUCCCCAUUGGGAUUCCCCAUUGAGGUUGGGGUUCCCCAUUGGGGUUCCCCAUUGGGAUUCCCCAUUGAGGU